CCCUUAGAUGUCCUGGGCCGCACGCGCGCUACACUGACAUGUUCAACAAGCCUCCUAGUUCGACAGGAUUUGGGAAAUCUUUGAACGCAUGUCGUGAUAGGGAUAGAUCAUUGCAAUUAUUGAUCUUGAACGAGGAAUUCCUAGUAAACGCGAGUCAUCAGCUCGCAUUGAUUACGUCCCUGCCCUUUGUACACACCGCCCGUCGCACCUACCGAUUGAAUGUUUCGGUGAAGAUUCCGGAUAGGACUUUUUUGAUUUAUUUCAAUUUUGUCUUAAAAGUUAUCUAAACCUCAACAUUUAGAGGAAGGUGAAGUCGUAACA
rnacentral:rRNA from 1 species